rnacentral:ncRNA from 1 species
UCAUUGGUUGAUCCUGUCAUAUGCUUGUCUCAAAGAUUAAGCCAGUCAUGUCUAAGUACACAUGGCUGGUACAGUGAAACUCUGAAUGAUUCAUUAAAUCAGUUAUGGUUCUUUUGGUUGCGAGGUCCUUCCUCCUACUUGUAUAACUGGUAAUUCUAGAACCAAUAUAUGCUGAUGAACUGACUCCAGUCCCCUUCCCCUACAGGUGGCCCCAUCCUAGAGAAUGAGUACAUUUAUUAGACCAAAACUAAUCGCUUUACCCCCAAUCAGGGACUGGUGUCCCAGGAACUUUGGUAACUCUAGAUAACCUUGGACCAAGCACCCACCCCAGUAGUGGCAAUGGUCCAUUUAAAAGAAUACUCUAUCAACUUUUGAUGGUACUUGCCAUAUCUAUUAUAGUGACCUUGGGUGACAAGGAAUCAGGAUUCAGUAAGAAGCCUGAGAAAUGGCUGCUACAUCCAAGGAAGGCAGCAGGCUUACUAAUUACCUAGUCCCAACUAGUGUAGAAAGCAGGAAAAAAAAUAAUUUUUGAGGCCCUGUAAUUGGAGUAUAUUUUAAAUCCUUUAAUGAGAAUCCAACUUACAGCAAGUUUAAUACCAGCAGCCCCAGUAAAUUCAGCUCCAGUAUGUGGAAAUUAAAAUUAUCCCACCAAUAAUAAGAGACUGAGGCAGAGGUCUGAGAAGAUACUCACCUCAGGCUCAAACAAUGUGUGUAUAGAUUGCGAGGGAAGUCUGACUUCCCAGGGCCAGUGUCCAUGAAAGAGCCAUGGAUAAAAAUUCAAUCUAGGGUGUACUUCCUUUUUGGGUCCUUUGCAGGGGCCAGGCUGGGGUCCAUGUAUCACUGUCCUAUCUGGGAUUGCCAACAUUGUGGGAAUUAAAGUUAUCCCAUCUACAAUAAGAGAGAUGGAGGUAGAAGUCUGAGCCAAUGGCACUUUAUUAAAAGGUCCA